rnacentral:rRNA from 1 species
AUUGAACGCUGGCGGCAUGCUUUACACAUGCAAGUCGAACGGUAACAGGCCUUCGGGUGCUGACGAGUGGCGAACGGGUGAGUAAUGCAUCGGAACGUACCCAGAGGUGGGGGAUAACGCAGCGAAAGCUGUGCUAAUACCGCAUGUGAUCUGAGGAUGAAAGCGGGGGACCGAGCAGCAAUGUUUGGCCUCGCGCCUUUGGAGCGGCCGAUGUCGGAUUAGCUAGUUGGUGGGGUAAAGGCCUACCAAGGCGACGAUCCGUAGCUGGUCUGAGAGGACGACCAGGCACAAUGGGACUGAGAGACGGCCCAGACUCCGACGGGAGGCAGCAGUGGGGAAUUUUGGACAAUGGGCGCAAGCCUGAUCCAGCAAUGCCGCGUGCGGGAAGAAGGCCUUCGGGUUGUAAACCGCUUUUGGCAGGAACGAAACGGUGUCCGCUAAUACCGGGCGCUAAUGACGGUACCUGCAGAAUAAGCACCGGCUAACUACGUG